rnacentral:rRNA from 1 species
AACGAACGCUGGCGGCAUGCCUAACACAUGCAAGUCGAACGAGACCUUCGGGUAUAGUGGCGCACGGGUGCGUAACGCGUGGGAACCUGCCCUUAGGUUCGGAAUAACUCCCCGAAAGGGGUGCUAAUACCGGAUAAUGUCUUCGGACCAAAGAUUUAUCGCCUUUGGAUGGGCCCGCGUUGGAUUAGCUAGUUGGUAGGGUAAAAGCCUACCAAGGCGACGAUCCAUAGCUGGUCUGAGAGGAUGAUCAGCCACACUUGGACUGAGACACGGCCCAGACUCCUACGGGAGGCAGCAGUGGCGAAUAUUGGACAAUGGGCGAAAGCCUGAUCCAGCAAUGCCGCGUGAGUGAUGAAGUCCUUAGGGUUGUAAAGCUCUUUUACCCGGGAUGAUAAUGACAGUACCGGGAGAAUAAGCUCCGGCUAACUCCGUG